CAAUGGGCGAAAGCCUGAUCCAGCAAUGCCGCGUGUGUGAAGAAGGCCUUCGGGUUGUAAAGCACUUUUGUCCGGAAAGAAAUCCUUGGCUCUAAUACAGUCGGGGGAUGACGGUACCGGAAGAAUAAGCACCGGCUAACUACGUGCCAGCAGCCGCGGUAAUACGUAGGGUGCGAGCGUUAAUCGGAAUUACUGGGCGUAAAGCGUGCGCAGGCGGUUUGCUAAGACCGAUGUGAAAUCCCCGGGCUCAACCUGGGAACUGCAUUGGUGACUGGCAGGCUAGAGUAUGGCAGAGGGGGGUAGAAUUCCACGUGUAGCAGUGAAAUGCGUAGAGAUGUGGAGGAAUACCGAUGGCGAAGGCAGCCCCCUGGGCCAAUACUGACGCUCAUGCACGAAAGCGUGGGGAGCAAACAGGAUUAGAUACCCUGGUAGUCCACGCCCUAAACGAUGUCAACUAGUUGUUGGGGAUUCAUUUCCUUAGUAACGUAGCUAACGCGUGAAGUUGACCGCCUGGGGAGUACGGUCGCAAGAUUAAAACUCAAAGGAAUUGACGGGGACCCGCACAAGCGGUGGAUGAUGUGGAUUAAUUCGAUGCAACGCGAAAAACCUUACCUACCCUUGACAUGGUCGGAAUCCUGCUGA
rnacentral:rRNA from 1 species